UACGUAGGGUGCAAGCGUUGUCCGGAAUUAUUGGGCGUAAAGAGCUUGUAGGCGGUUUGUCGCGUCUGCUGUGAAAUUCCGGGGCUCAACCCCGAACUUGCAGUGGGUACGGGCAGACUAGAGUGUGGUAGGGGAGACUGGAAUUCCUGGUGUAGCGGUGAAAUGCGCAGAUAUCAGGAGGAACACCGAUGGCGAAGGCAGGUCUCUGGGCCAUAACUGACGCUGAGAAGCGAAAGCGUGGGGAGCAAACGGG
rnacentral:rRNA from 1 species